rnacentral:rRNA from 1 species
GACGAACGCUGGCGGCGUGCCUAACACAUGCAAGUCGAACGAAGCAUAGCAAUAUGCUUAGUGGCGGACGGGUGAGUAACGCGUGAACAAUCUGCCCUGUACAAAGGAAUAGCCUCGGGAAACCGGGAUUAAAAACCGUAUGACACUUUAGUAUCGCAUGAUAAGAAAGUCAAAUCGAUUAGAGGUAUGGGAUGAGUUCGCGUCUGAUUAGCUGGUUGGCGGGGUAACGCCCACCAAGGCGACGAUCAGUAGCCGGCCUGAGAGGGUGAACGGCCACACUGGAACUGAGACACGGUCCAGACUCCUACGGGAGGCAGCAGUGGGGAAUAUUGGGCAAUGGGCGAAAGCCUGACCCAGCGACGCCGCGUGGGUGAUGAAGGCCUUCGGGUUGUAAAACCCUUUCGUGCGGAAAGAAUAAGUCCUGUAGCGAAUAACUACGGGAUUUGACGGUACCGCAGGAAGAAGCACCGGCUAACUCCGUG